rnacentral:ncRNA from 1 species
UAGGUGGAAUCCGAAAAACCGGAAAAGAGUAGGAA